rnacentral:rRNA from 1 species
GUGUCAGCCGCCGCGGUAACACGUAGGGGACGAGCGUUGUCCGGAUUCAUUGGGCGUAAAGCGCGCGUAGGCGGCCCGGAAAGUCGGAUGUGAAAACCUGGGGCUCAACCCCAGGCGUGCACCCGAUACUCCCGGGCUGGAGGCAGGUAGGGGAGAUCGGAAUUCCUGGUGUAGCGGUGAAAUGCGCAGAUAUCAGGAGGAACACCGGUGGCGAAGGCGGAUCUCUGGGCCUUGCCUGACGCUGAGGCGCGAAAGCUAGGGGAGCGAACAGGAUUAGAAACCCCAGUAGUCC